UCCAGCAGUAAGGCAGCUUCCCAGUUGUCUGUAUCUGGGUUAGUGUUACACUGCUGGGAGAGCAGCGGCCCAAGGCUAGAUGGUACACU
rnacentral:snoRNA from 1 species